rnacentral:rRNA from 1 species
AUUGAACGCUGGCGGAAUGCUUUACACAUGCAAGUCGAGCGGCAGCGCGGGGCAACCUGGCGGCGAGCGGCGAACGGGUGAGUAAUACAUCGGAACGUACCCAGUUGUGGGGGAUAGCCCGGCGAAAGCCGGAUUAAUACCGCAUACGACCUGAGGGUGAAAGGGGGGGAUCGCAAGACCUCUCGCAGUUGGAGCGGCCGAUGGCGGAUUAGCUAGUUGGUAGGGUAAAGGCCUACCAAGGCGACGAUCCGUAGCUGGUCUGAGAGGACGACCAGCCACACUGGAACUGAGACACGGUCCAGACUCCUACGGGAGGCAGCAGUGGGGAAUUUUGGACAAUGGGGGCAACCCUGAUCCAGCCAUUCCGCGUGAGUGAAGAAGGCCUCGGUUGUAAGCUCUUUCGGUCAGGAACGAAACGGUAGGUCCCGUAAUACGGAUUGCUAAUGACGGUA